CAGCAGCCGCGGUAAUACCGGCGGCCCGAGUGGCGGCCACUAUUAUUGGGCUUAAAGCGUCCGUAGCCGGGUUGGGAAGUCCUCCGGGAAAUCUGGCCGCUUAACGGUCAGAAUUCCGGGAGAUACUGCCAGCCUAGGGACCGGGAGAGGCCGAGGGUAUUCCCGGAGUAGGGGUGAAAUCCUAUAAUCCCGGGAGGACCACCUGUGGCGAAGGCGCUCGGCUGGAACGGGUCCGACGGUGAGGGACGAAGGCCAGGGGAGCAAACCGGAUUAGAUACCCGGGUAGUCCUGGCUGUAAACGAUGCGGACUUUGUGUCGGACAAGCUAUGAGCUUGUCCGGUGCCGGAGGGAAACCGUUAAGUCCGCCGCCUGGGGAGUACGGCCGCAAGGCUGAAACUUAAAGGAAUUGGCGGG
rnacentral:rRNA from 1 species